rnacentral:lncRNA from 13 species
GGGGGGCUUUAUUCAUUUACCUGAUUUUGCGAACCGUUUCUUGAUUUUGGACAAAAUCAAGCCGUCAAUAUUCUUUUAAUGCUUUUUCUGUAUAAAAACAAAAUCUUAAAAUUACAGCUCAAUUCGAGCAAAUUCUGAAUUUGAGAUUAGUCCCGAUAAUCAGAGCAAAUCAUGCAAUUAAUUCAAGAUGUUUUAGUCGUUUUACAGCCUUAGUAUAAAGGUAGAAACAUAAUAGCAUAUUUACCUUUUAAUUUACUUUACCAUUUCAGCUGUGGCCUUACUAGAGGAUAUAUAUAUAUAUUUAAAUCAAACAUUACUUAUUGGUAAUUAAGUAGGAAUUGAACUGACUUGAUGGGUAGACACUUAUUCACUCUACUUUUUUCCUAUUCCACUGAACACACCGAUACUUCAGGGUGUGAGGCCCUUGUCCUAUACAAAACUCACACAUUGUAUGUAAAACACCUUGUCAUCAUUGAGCACGUGUCAUCCUUGAGCUUGCAUCUUUCUUGAGCAUACGUGUAUGAGUAAAUCAAUUUUCUCAUUUGCUUGUUAUUCCUAAACAGAAUCCUUAUCAUCAUUUGCUUGUUAUUUCUCAACAGAAUCCUUAUCAUCAUUUGCUUGUUAUUCCUAAACCGAAUCCUUAUUAUCAUUUACUUGUUAUUCCUCAACAGAAUCCUUAUUAUCAUUUACUUGUUAUUCCUCAACAGAAUCCUUAUCAUCAUUUACUUGUCAUUCUUAAACAGAAUCCUUAUCAUCAUUUACUUGUUAUUCCUACACAGAAUCCUUAUCAUUUACUUGUUAUUCCUAAACAUAAUCCUUAUCAUUUACUUGUUAUUCCUAAACAGAAUCCUUAUCAUUUACUUGUUAUUCCUACACAGAAUCCUUAUCAUUUACUUGUUAUUCCUAAACAGAAUCCUUAUCAUCAUUUACUUGUCAUUCUUAAACAGAAUCCUUAUCAUCAUUUACUUGUUAUUCCUACACAGAAUCCUUAUCAUCAUUUACUUGUUAUUCCUACACAGAAUCCUUAUCAUUUACUUGUUAUUCCUAAACAGAAUCCUUAUCAUCAUUUACUUGUCAUUCUUAAACAGAAUCCUUAUCAUUAUUUGCGCUAAGCUUCAUGACAUCUAGCCUGACUGCCACGUGACCACACAACAAGAAGACUUUGAGAGCUCGUGUCAGCCAGACUACAUGACAGCCGCUGUAACUCACAAAGACACACCAGGCCCUCAUUCAAUGACCCAACAUCCUGUGCUUUCUACAUAUUUUCCACUCAAUCACUUCACUCUUCAACACACAGGCAAUAUCCAAACAACAUGAAAAUACUCUUUAAGAUGAAGUAUUCCAGCAUCUGAAUUAUUUUACUCUUCUCUUGGUCUCUCUGGGAUAGGCAAGGAGAAGUCAAACAAUGUACAUGAAGAAUUAUCCAAAACUCCCUCGGUCUCCAUGCCAAUAUGGAUACCUGGCGCGCCGUCAAAUACAGUCCACCUCCCAUCGACGGUGAACUUCGCUGUCCUACUGCGUUGUUUUUCCCGAAUACAUUAUUUUGAUUAAUUGCACUGGAUCCCCAUUGGAUUUGAAUGACCUCCAAAAACUGUACUGAGUGCUGAUCACAUGACUUCCAGUACAGCCCCAGAUUUCUACAAAGCAUGGUAAUGAGGCUCAUUAGCAUAAACAUGAAGAGAGAGAAGAAGAAGAGAGGCUCUCCCUGUUGUACACUAUGAGUUGUACUACUUCUGUGAUUUGGGUUGGCAUGUUUCGCCCACCUCUGGCUAAGUUCCUCCAGUUUCAUUCCAUUGCCAUCCUACUUGAACUUGCUGCACGCAAAAUCAAACGAGAGAGUGGUGAAGAUGAGUGAUCAUGCUUCAGGGCCGUGAUGACAGAGGAGGGAAGUUAUAGGAUGACCUCAGCGUUCCUGUCAGUUUAGUGGAGGAUGACAAGUUAUAGGAUGACCUCAGCGUUCCUGUCAGUUUGGUGGAGGAUGACAGGUUAUAGGAUGACCUCAGCGUUCCUGUCAGUUUGGUGGAGGAUGACNNNNNNNNNNUUCUUCCUCAUUCAUCUCUUUCUAUAUCUGCCUAUAGGGAGUUUGGGAUCAGCUGUCUUGAAAAAACAAGUCUCACAGCUUUCUGGGACAAACUUCAAGAGCCAGAAAAAAAAAACUUCCAAGGAUUUUCCAUAGCUACUGUACCAAGGCUGUCCUUCAAUUAUUAAGAUGGCUACCCCCAAUGCACUUGUUCUCCCAGCCUUGAUUGAAUAUUAAGUGGCCACCCCCAACAUAAGAGAUCCAUAAGAUGAGGCCCAUGCAGAGACUAAAGGCUGAGUCGGCAUCAACUCCUCUCCCUGAGUCCCAGCAGAAGACGAACCCAAGCCUUUCAACGCAACUGCAGAGUAUGCCUGUCACAUCUGGGCUAAAUUCUCUUAGGAGGGAGGAGCGAUGCGGCGCUAUUACCAUGUCCCAGGUAAUGUGGAGAGUGUCUGCGCCUCCAUGUCCCCGAAGUAGGGCGAUGCCUAUUUCUGUCUGAGUUUGUGGUGGUUUUAAACUAUUUAGUGGUUUGAAAGGAUGCAAAACCCAGAAAGAUAACAGAAAAAACUCUUAAGUGUAGUCUAUGAGUCUACAGGACAAAGCAGUUGAAUCCACUGACCAGUAGUGUAUAACGUAGAGCUGUCAAGAGUUCAUCUGUCACGCUCUGACCUUAGAGAGCCUUUAAAUGUCUCUAUUUGGUUUAGUCAAGGUGUGAUUUGGGGUGGGCAUUCUAUGUUUUGUUAUCUAUGAUUUUGUAUUUCUAUGUUUUGGCCGGGUAUGGUUCUCAAUCAGGGACAGCUGUCUAUCGUUGUCUCUGAUUGGGAACCAUACUUAGGUAGCCCUUUUUCUCUCCUUUCUUUGUGGGAAGUUGGCUUUGUUUAGGGCACAUAGCCUUUAGCUUCACGGUUUGUUUGUAGUGUUUAUUGUUUUUGUCGGCGUCAUCUUAAAUAAAGAAUAUGUACCCUCACCACCGCUGCACCUUGGUCCUCCUCCUUCAACAGCCGUGACAUCAUCAGUCAAUUCAAAUUCACUUUUUGUUAUUUUAGAGCACAAUUUUUUUCUUUAUCGUGAUUCGUCACAUUGUCUGAAAGCAUUCAGAAUACACUGAAAACAUCCAAAAUACAGUACAUACUCAUUACAGGUAAAAACAACAUUAUCAAAACAUCCAAAAUACAGUACAUACUCAUUACAGGUAAAAACAACAUUAUCAAAACAUCCAAAAUACAGUACAUACUCAUUACAGGUAAAAACAACAUUAUCAAAACAUCCAAAAUACAGUACAUACUCAUUACAGGCAAAAACAACAUUAUCAAAACAUCCAAAAUACAGUACAUACUCAUUACAGGUAAAAACAACAUUAUGAAAACAAGUUGACAUUGAAGUUAAAGAAAGGGGGGCUUUAUUCAUUUACCUGAUUUUGCGAACCGUUUCUUGAUUUUGGACAAAAUCAAGCCGUCAAUAUUCUUAUAAUGCUUUUUCUGUAUAAAAACAAAAUCUUAAAAUUACAGCUCAAUUCGAGCAAAUUCUGAAUUUGAGAUUAGUCCCGAUAAUCAGAGCAAAUCAUGCAAUUAAUUCAAGAUGUUUUAGUCGUUUUACAGCCUUAGUAUAAAGGUAGAAACAUAAUAGCAUAUUUACCCUUUCAUUUACUUUUAUUUACCAUUUCAGCUGUGGCCUUACUAGAGGAUAUAUGUAUAUUUUUAAAUCAAACAUUACUUAUUGGUAAUUAAGUAGGAAUUGAACUGACUUGAUGGGUAGACACUUAUUUACCUUCCUUUUUUCCUAUUCCACUGAACACACCGAUACUUCAGGGUGUGAGGCCCUUGUCCUAUACAAAACUCACACAUUGUAUGUAAAACACCUUGUCAUCAUUGAGCACGUGUCAUCCUUGAGCUUGCAUCUUUCUUGAGCAUACGUGUAUGAGUAAAUCAAUUUUCUCAUUUGCUUGUUAUUCCUAAACAGAAUCCUUAUCAUCAUUUGCUUGUUAUUCCUAAACCGAAUCCUUAUUAUCAUUUACUUGUUAUUCCUCAACAGAAUCCUUAUUAUCAUUUACUUGUUAUUCCUAAACAGAAUCCUUAUCAUCAUUUACUUGUCAUUCUUAAACAGAAUCCUUAUCAUCAUUUACUUGUUAUUCCUACACAGAAUCCUUAUCAUUUACUUGUUAUUCCUAAACAUAAUCCUUAUCAUUUACUUGUUAUUCCUAAACAGAAUCCUUGUCAUUUACUUGUUAUUCCUACACAGAAUCCUUAUCAUUUACUUGUUAUUCCUAAACAGAAUCCUUAUCAUCAUUUACUUGUCAUUCUUAAACAGAAUCCUUAUCAUUAUUUGCGCUAAGCUUCAUGACAUCUAGCCUGACUGCCACGUGACCACACAACAAGAAGACUUUGAGAGCUCGUGUCAGCCAGACUACAUGACAGCCGCUGUAACUCACAAAGACACACCAGGCCCUCAUUCAAUGACCCAACAUCCUGUGCUUUCUACAUAUUUUCCACUCAAUCACUUCACUCUUCAACACACAGGCAAUAUCCAAACAACAUGAAAAUACUCUUUAAGAUGAAGUAUUCCAGCAUCUGAAUUAUUUUACUCUUCUCUUGGUCUCUCUGGGAUAGGCAAGGAGAAGUCAAACAAUGUACAUGAAGAAUUAUCCAAAACUCCCUCGGUCUCCAUGCCAAUAUGGAUACCUGGCGCGCCGUCAAAUACAGUCCACCUCCCAUCGACGGUGAACUUCGCUGUCCUACUGCGUUGUUUUUCCCGAAUACAUUAUUUUGAUUAAUUGC